GAGGAGGAGAUGCCGCCGCCGCCGCCGCCGCCGCCGCCGCUACUCCUGCAGCUGCCGCCUCCUCCUGCCGCCUCCGCCCGCCGCCGGCUCCGGGCGGUGCGAGGCUCCGGGCCACAGCUCAGCUGCCCCCCGCCCGCCGGCCCGCCGCACGCGGCCUGGGGCCUGCUUCCCUGAGCGCUCGCCGCCGCCGCCGCCGCGCCCUUCUCUUUUUCCUUUUUUUUUUUUUUUUUCCUCCUUUACUGGAGCUGCGCGCGCGCGGUGGCGGCGACGGCGCGAUCCCGGGGCGGGCGGGCGCGCGCGCGCGCGCGGGAGAGGGCAGGCCCUAGGGAACGCGCGCGCUGUCUGUCUUUGGUGACGGCCGGGCGCGUACACACACAUAGGCCCGGGGACUCUACACGGGACCACCACCGGUUGGAACGCAGGCCCGGCUGGAAGGCCGGCAACACGGAUGCGGGGCUCAGAUCGCCGGGGCACAGGGUUUGAAGACUGUAAAAGUAGGUCGUAUAGGAGCCCGGAGGUUGGGGAGCCGGGUUGCGCGCUCGCGCGCUCCCGAAGGCGCAUGCGCACGUCGGGGCGGGGCAGGGCGGAGGCGGCAAGGGGCACGUACUCUAGGCGGCUGGCUAUGAAGAAGGCUAAAGGCCUGUCUGGCCGCUUCUUUUGCUGGUCCCCCUCCUCUCAACUCGUGCAGCAAAACAAGAGGCUUAGAUCUUGUGAUCAGGAAUUUUAUUAGGCUUGGUGAAGAGUUUCAUCAAUAUUCCAAUUAAAAAAGUAUAAAAGCUACAUAAC
ensembl:antisense Gm4673 predicted gene 4673